rnacentral:rRNA from 1 species
UGGGGAAUUUUGCACAAUGGGGGAAACCCUGAUGCAGCGACGCCGCGUGAUUUAGAAGGCCUUCGGGUUGUAAAAAUCUUUUCUAUGGGAAGAAAAUGACAGUACCAUAGGAAUAAGGACCGGCUAAUUACGUGCCAGCAGCCGCGGCAAUACGUAAGGUCCGAGCGUUGUCCGGAAUCAUUGGGCGUAAAGGGUACGUAGGCGGGUAAGCAAGUUAGAAGUGAAAUCCUAUAGCUCAACUAUAGUAAGCUUUUAAAACUGCUCAUCUUGAGGUAUGGAAGGGAAAGUGGAAUUCCUAGUGUAGCGGUGAAAUGCGCAGAUAUUAGGAGGAAUACCGGUGGCGAAGGCGACUUUCUGGCCAUAACCUGACGCUGAGGUACGAAAGCGUGGGUAGCAAACAGG